rnacentral:rRNA from 1 species
GUGGAUUAGAUACCCUAGUAGUCCACGCCCUAAACGAUGUCUACUAGUUGUUGGGAGAGUAAAAUCUCUUAGUAACGCAGCUAACGCGUGAAGUAGACCGCCUGGGGAGUACGGUCGCAAGAUUAAAACUCAAAGGAAUUGACGGGGGCCCGCACAAGCGGUGGAUUAUGUGGAUUAAUUCGAUGCAACGCGAAAAACCUUACCUGGCCUUGACAUGUACCGAAUUUAGCAGAGAUGCUUUAGUGCUCGAAAGAGAACGGUAACACAGGUGCUGCACGGCCGUCGACAACU